rnacentral:rRNA from 1 species
CUUUCAUGGAGAGUUUGAUCCUGGCUCAGGACGAACGCUGGCGGCGUGCCUAAUACAUGCAAGUCGAGCGAAUCAAUAGGAGC